rnacentral:rRNA from 1 species
UACGUAGGGGGCUAGCGUUGUUCGGAAUCACUGGGCGUAAAGCGCGCGCAGGUGGUUCCUUAAGUCUGAUGUGAAAGCCCACGGCUCAACCGUGGAGGGUCAUUGGAAACUGGGGAACUUGAGUGCAGAAGAGGAAAGUGGAAUUCCAAGUGUAGCGGUGAAAUGCGUAGAGAUUUGGAGGAACACCAGUGGCGAAGGCGACUUUCUGGUCUGUAACUGACACUGAGGCGCGAAAGCGUGGGGAGCAAACAGG